UACGGAGGGUGCAAGCGUUGUCCGGAUACAUUGGGUUUAAAGGGUGCGUAGGCGGUCCUUUAAGUCAGCGGUGAAGUCCCACGGCUCAACCGUGGAACUGCCGUUGAUACUGAGGGACUUGAGUUCGUCCGAGGUCGCUGGAAAGCGUGGUGUAGCGGUGAAAUGCAUAGAUAUCACGCAGAACACCGAUUGCGAAGGCAGGUGACUGGGACGCGACUGACGCUGAGGCACGAAAGUGUGGGGAGCAAACAGG
rnacentral:rRNA from 1 species